ACGAAUUUUUAUUUAUAACUCAAUAAUCAUAUAUUUCUUAAAUGUGAGAUUGAGUAUCACAUUUUUCACCGCUUAAAUUUUUAAUAUACUUAUUAGGAUCAUAUAUCAUACCAUCACAAAUUAUAAUUUAAAUACUUAUAAUAUCUAAUAUUAUACUAACCGAAAUAACCAAAUUGGUAAAAGUUUACGAUACCAUUUAUAAUAUAAUGAGUCCAAACGGUUACUAACAUAAUAAUUUUUUGAACUCAAAUUACUGGUUCUUAAAAAUUUAAGUUCAAAUCAUUAAUAACGUGUGACUCGAUCACUUAUAUAGAACUUUUUAGUUAUAACAUUAGAAGCCGGCUACUCUAUUAAUUCAACAUGUUAGAUCGAAUUGAAAGUGUAUGAAUCAAAGUGCCAGUUGAAAUUGCAGGGAGAAGUUUGCUAAGAACAAAUGAAAGAGAAAAGAGAAGGAGAUAGAAAUUUGUUGAGUGUAAUUGUCUGUACACCGUAGCCCUAACUGGGGCUAAACACUGCGAGGCCAUUACUGCAGCCUCUGCAAACAUAUCUAUAUAUUUAUUUGUAUAAACAGAAGGAAAGCGUAUACAUUCAUACACAUGUAAGGACACGUUUUCGAGGGUUUUG
rnacentral:lncRNA from 1 species